rnacentral:tRNA from 1 species
CGCCCCCUUCGUCUAGCGGUCCAGGAUACGUGGUUCUCAGCCAUGUGACACGGGUUCGAGUCCCGUAGGGGCAC